rnacentral:lncRNA from 1 species
CAAAUAAUAUAAAAUAAAAUAAAAUAAAAUCAAAUCAAAUCAAAUAACAUCAAAUCAAAUCAACUCAAAUAAAAUAAAAUAAAAUAAAAUAAAAUCAAAUAAAAUCAAAUAAAAUCAAAUCAAAUGAAAUAAAACCAAAUCAAAUAAAAUAUAAUCAAAUAAAAUAAAAUAGAAUCAAAUCAAAUCAAAUCAAAUCAAAUCACAUAAAAUCAAAUAAAAUAAAAUAAACUAAAAUCAAAUCAAAUAAAAUCAACCACCCAUCAGUAGGUGUUGAUACUCCCCUUUCUUGAUAUUCUUUUCUUUUUCUUUUCCUGCUGAAUUUCUUCAUAAAGUUGAGAAUACCAAGCACAUGCUUCCAUGUUUCAACCAUAGGAACUUUAAUCUCCAAUUUCUUGAAGAUCGCCAACUUGAACUUCUUUCCUUUCCUAUGAUUUUUCUUUUUAUGAGGAAGAGGUUUUUCAUGUGAUCUUUUCUUCUUUCCUCUCUUCCUCUUUUU